rfam:Flammeovirgaceae bacterium 311, complete genome.
UCCUCAGUAGCUCAGCUGGUUAGAGCACCUGACUGUUAAUCAGGGGGUCCUUGGUUCGAGCCCAAGCUGGGGAG